GAUGAACGCUGGCGGCGUGCCUAAUACAUGCAAGUCGAACGAGAAAGUGGGGGCAACCCCAUGAGUACAGUGGCAGACGGGUGAGUAACACGUGAACAACCUACCCUCGAGUGUGGAAUAACACCGCGAAAGCGGUGCUAAUACCGCAUAAUAUUUUCGGGUCGCAUGACCUGAAGAUCAAAAGCGCAAGUUGCUUGAGGAGGGGUUCGCGCCUGAUUAGCUAGUUGGUGAGGUAACGGCCCACCAAGGCUCCGAUCAGUAGCCGGCCUGAGAGGGCGAACGGCCACACUGGAACUGAGACACGGUCCAGACUCCUACGGGAGGCUG
rnacentral:rRNA from 1 species